UGUGCCUGGCGCGAUGCCCUGCAGCUGGCGGAGGGUGGGGCCGCCGCUUUCCUCUAUCGACCGAGGCUGCUGACGGGAAAACCGUCCGAGAGGGAGCGCCCCCGCCCAGAUUCCCUCCACCCUGAAAGUCUGCGGGAUUUUAGGGCCGAGUAAACCAAGCAGAAGCUCAGGGCCGUGUUAUAGACUCAGGUUGAGAUUUUCAGAUUGGCCUUCGAGGCUCCUGCCUGCCAACUACCGGCUCUGUGACCACAGGCGUCCUUAGCCUGGCCUGUUUCCCCACUCUUCGAGAGGCUUGCGGCCUGCGAGUAGCCACGAAGAAGAGUUCACGUCCCAAUCACUACCUGCCUAGUGGACAGCUGGAGGCCAGCACCUUAUCGGCAGGAUCACCGCGGUAUGGUGAAGCACGGGCCUAGCGAGGAGCAUGUGCACUGCAGUCAGUCCUCCAGUCCUUGGAUAUGGAGCCUCUGGAUUCGCAGCCCAUGGCAACAGAGGGCUGAUUCUACUCCUCACCUGAGGGGUUUGCGUGUCCUCGAAUUCUACUACCCAUGGGUUCCUCCUGGAUCCCACAGGCUGUCGCGCAGGCCUCUGCCCAUUGAAGGAAAGCUGACUUUGCUGCUCAGAUGACAAGUUCCAGGUCCCCCAGGGAAAGUGCAGGAGCGGGAGCCUGAACCAGCUUCUGGACUCGACCACGUGUGCCCACGUUAGCCGUGACAGUCUGCUUGGCAGUCACCCAUCGAGAAGAACCAGUGGCCACUGGACUGAACCCUCCCCUGUAUUUGUUCAGGAGCUCUCAGAGUUCUCAUUCCUCAGGGAAGCACUUUCAGAAUCAACCUGGCAUCACCUGACACCUCAGUGGCGGUCCGACUCUAAUCCUCCAGGCUUGUCUUCCUAAAAUAACGAUCGCAUCACCGCCCCUCAGUCCCUGACCUUGAAGCUCCCUACUGAGACUCAGUUCCUUGAAGGAGGAGAAGAGGCUUAGCUCACCUUUGUAACCCCAGUCCCUGGGGCUGCAUACCUGGCCGACAGGUGCUUAGUACACAGUGGCCGGAAGAACAAGUGAAAGGGCCCCAGCGCAGCGCCUUUGCUGGGGCACGCCAGGCACUUUCAUGCCGUUGCCCAUGCCGACUCCCCUCCCAGGCUGCCCCCUGCUGCGUCUCCUUGUUAGCUCAGAAGUCACCUCCUUGUCAAACUGCCGGAGCUCAGGGCCUGUGACGCCCCAGGCCCCGCGCGGGACUGCCUGCCUGCCUCUCCGUGUCUGGCGGAUGGGCCCCAGUACUUUUCCUGCUGUGUCCUGUUGUUAGAGGUCUGCUGCUUUCUGCAUAGAUCACAGUAUCCUAGAGGGCCUCUUCUGUGAUUCCAACACAGGCUAAGGAACACAGACCUUCAGGUCACUUUGGACCCUGUGCCUGGAUCCUAGUGAUGAGUCUUCAUUCUCCAUCUCAUGAGAGUCUUCAGUGCAAAUGGAGGGACAGGAAUUCCUGUUUUAGACACUUCGUGGUGACCACCUUCAAGCUUCUCCCUUAUAGCACUCUUCUAACAUUUACAUCUAACAGCACUGUCUGCCCCGGUCCUCCUACAAUCCAGCCAGCGCGGUUCCCGUCACAGCAAGCACUUCCUCUGUCAGAGCAGACAAACCGACUCAAGCCACAGCCGGAAGCACGCUGACCACAAGUGCUAAGGUUCUGGUUAGUUCUUUUCUAGGUAAAGUUGGAAAAGUCCCUGCAAAGCAAACACUGAAGUUUUAGACAUGGGGGCGGCACUGACCUCUUGAAACGUUCUUGACUGGAAAGAGGGAGGGUGUGUGUGAGAGAGAGAGAGAGAGAAACACAGAGAGAGAGAGAAAGAGAGAGAGAGAGAGAGGAGGAGAGGAAGUUGGAUUGUAUGAUGCAAAUGCUAAUCAUUCUGAGAAGUGUGUUUUUUUUUUUCUCCCUCUUCCCAGGUUCAACUGAAGAGGCAGUUCUAAGAAAGACAGCUGAGAUCAUCAGUUACCUCCUCAGAGAAAGUCCACUGGUGGUAGAGUUUUGUUUACCAUGUAAACAACGCAGCAUUAUGGCUAAACCCCUUAUUCUUUCACAGCCAGACUAAAGAAUUGCGAUUUUUUUUUUUUUUUGGUGGGGUCAUGAGGAUAAAAGACAGGGUCACUGGCCAGAAGAUGGGUCCCGGGAAGAUAGACCUGUAAGCCAGAGAGUCUCCUCCACCCUUCAGAAUCCCCUUGGGAAGAUUCAGGAGGGCAGAGAUGGUCCUUUCAAAGCAAAUGUCAUAGGCACUGCACCUUCUCUUACCAAGCAAGACAGACUGGAUUUCCCAGAGUGCCUGGGGAUGACUGGAGUGACCCAGAGAGGGCGCGGGGCAGCCUGGAAACAGACUCUUGGCUUCAUGUAUCCAAACCCCCCAGAAAAUGCCUGGAAGAGGGUGGAGGAGGAAGACCGAAGAUAAUCCUUAACUGUUCUACAGCAGGAAUAUAUUACACUCAAUAAACUUUAAAUGU